CCCAUACACUUUAAAUCUGGGUGAAGCAGAACUCAGAAGGAUGAUGUUAGGACAUUGUAUUUUAUUUGUGCUAAUUUCAUAUUCUUAUGGACAGUCCCUGACCUCCUCUGCUUCUGUGGUGAAGAGACCUGGAGAGUCAGUCACUCUGGCCUGUACUGUCUCCGGAUUCUCAAUGGGCAGCUACUACAUGAGCUGGAUCCGUCAGAAACCAGGAAGAGGACUGGAGUGGAUCGGGCGCAUUGACACUGGCACUAGCACAAUAUUCGCUCAGUCUCUGCAGGGCCAAUUCUCCAUCACUAAGGACACCAAUAAAAACAUUCUGUACCUAGAAGUGAAGAGUCUGAAAGCUGAAGACACGGCUGUUUAUUACUGUGCACGACACUCACACUGACACAACAGACUCCAGAGCUGUACAAAAACUUACACAAGCACGACCUCAUGAGCUGUAAAUAUUCCCUCAAGAGGAAACUGAACCAGAGAGACAUUUAUUAUAAACAUCAUCCAUUCACACUCAGCACUCAGAUUUUACUUCUUCAUUUCAAAUGCAAAAGUAAAUGUCUCAAGUUUUUUCU